CCAGCGCAAACCAUUCUCCGGGAUUGAUUCCUUGGCUCUCCCCUCGCCUCCCCUCCCUUCCAUAAUCCCUCCAUUUAACCCCCUCCGUUUGCUUCGCUCUGCCUGCCUCAUCCUCGUGCUUAAGCUUCUCGCCAUCAGCUGGGAGAGAUAUCUGGAGCAGAGCAACAGGAGGAGCCACAGCUUCAGCCUUCAGGUCGCACACAUACACUCGGCGCGUCGUCGGAGGACCAGCCGGCAAGAUGCAGAUGGUACUGAUAAUCUCGCUGCCACUCGUGGCGCUGGUGGUGAUCAUCGCCAUCAUCCUCUGCAUCGUCUGCCGUUAACCAGCCAGCCAGCCAGCUCGCGCGCGGCUCGCCUCGCCGGAUGUUGCAUCAUGUAGCCUCGUACUAGUGUUGUUGCUGCGUCUGUCUCAUACUGCCGUCGUGUAUUUUGUCUGCAACCCUGCUCGGUGUGUCGUCUUUAUCCCCUUUUCUCCUACUAGCUUCUCGACGUGAAAUGUACUAUUGAUUGAUACAUGUGUGUGUGUGUGUGUCUGCUCGUGUGUGUGCGGGUGUCAGUACAGUGCAUACUGCCGUGUAACGUAAGCUCUUGACUUUGUCGCAAAAAAAAGUAAGCUCCUGAAGAAUUCUUCAGAUAUUGGUCAUGCUUCUUUCAGCAGAGUGAGAUCGCCGCGUCUGUCUUUCGUUUGCGCUCACGCCUGGUCGUCCAACCAGAGGCAUGCACGUGGUGCGCCGUCCACCAGACGCGGACAUCUCUCUGACGUCUGGGCCCCGGCGUGGCGCCGGAGUCCUCGGUUCACACCGCUUCUACUUUCUCCUUUCUUCUCCACUCCACUCUUCUCUCUACCUGAUUAGCGAUUAUUUUAGCCCACGCACCGGCACCAACACCACUUGCCCCAUCUCCAUCGCCGCCAAGCUCCACUGCUCCGCUCCUCCCCUCCGUCUCCCUCCCAAGCCUCUCGUCUCCGACAGAUCAAGGAGGCCAGGAGCAGCAACAAGAUCAGCAGCUCGAUUGGGCAGGCAAGCGGCGGAUGGAGUUCGUGCUCAUCAUAUCCCUGCCGCUCCUCAUCCUGAUCCUCAUCAUCGCCGUCGUCCUCUGCAUCGUCUGCCGCUAGCCACAUGCCGACUCGUCUCUGCUCGGUCCGCUGUGACUGUGGUCGCACCAUAUGUUGUGUUAAUCAAUCCAAUAUUACAUCAUGACUCGGCAUAGAAAAGAAAAGAAAAAAGCUCCUCUCCACCACCAUUUCUAUUUUUCUGUUCUGUCACUGUGGUGUGAUUAGCUGGCUAUAGCUUUAUUGGCUUUCCUGAUGGCAACAAAAGCAUCGAUCCCGUGUGUCGAUGCCCAAUGCAUAUGAUAUACUAUGUGGCUGUAAAAAAAAGAACAAAUUCCGUUCCUGCUCUGAUUGAUUCGGGGAGGUUGAAUACCUGAAAGUGCCAUCUUCUUUUUACUGUA